CCCUUAGAUGUUCUGGGCUGCACGCGUGCUACACUGAUAUUGCCAAUAUGUCAUUCUUAUCCGAAAUGGAUUGGGUAAUCAAGUAAUGAAAUUUCAUGCUUGGAAUCGGUAAUUGCAAUUUUAUCGUGAACGAGGAAUUCCUAGUAAGCACUAGUCAUCAGCUAAUGUUGAUUACGUCCCUGCCCUUUGUACACACCGCCCGUCGCUACUACUGAUUGGGUGUUCAAGUGAGAUGCUUAGACCCUUGUUGCAUGGUUCAUUAUUGUGCUCCGAAAGGAAAAAGUUUCAAGCUUGAGUGUCUAGAGGAAGUAAAAGUCGUAACA
rnacentral:rRNA from 1 species